rnacentral:rRNA from 1 species
AGUGAACGCUGGCGGUAGGCCUAACACAUGCAAGUCGAACGGCAGCACAGUAAGAGCUUGCUCUUACGGGUGGCGAGUGGCGGACGGGUGAGGAAUACAUCGGAAUCUACUUUUUCGUGGGGGAUAACGUAGGGAAACUUACGCUAAUACCGCAUACGACCUACGGGUGAAAGCAGGGGAUCUUCGGACCUUGCGCGAUUGAAUGAGCCGAUGUCGGAUUAGCUAGUUGGCGGGGUAAAGGCCCACCAAGGCGACGAUCCGUAGCUGGUCUGAGAGGAUGGUCAGCCACACUGGAACUGAGACACGGUCCAGACUCCUACGGGAGGCAGCAGUGGGGAAUAUUGGACAAUGGGCGCAAUCCUGAUCCAGCCAUACCGCGUGGGUGAAGAAGGCCUUCGGGUUGUAAAGCCCUUUUGUUGGGAAAGAAAAGCAGCAGGUUAAUACCCCGCUGUUCUGACGGUACCCAAAGAAUAAGCACCGGCUAACUUCGUG